rnacentral:rRNA from 1 species
GACAGAGGCCCCAAGCGUUAGGCGGAAUCACUGGGCUUAAAGCGUGUGUAGGCGGACGCCUAAGUGUCUUGUGAAAUCCCACGGCUCACCCGUGGAACUGCUGGGCAUACUGGGCGUCUUGGGCCAACUAGGGGCAGCCGGAACAAGCGGUGGAGCGGUGAAAUGCGUAGAUAUUCGGAGGAACACCAGUGGCGAAGGCGGCUCACUGGCUCGAUACUGACGCUGAGGUGCGAAAGCGUGGGGAGCAAACAGG